UGGGGAAUCUUGCACAAUGGGCGCAAGCCUGAUGCAGCCAUGCCGCGUGUGUGAAGAAGGCCUUCGGGUUGUAAAGCACUUUCAGCGGGGAGGAAGGCGGUGAGGUUAAUAACCUCAUCGAUUGACGUUACCCGCAGAAGAAGCACCGGCUAACUCCGUGCCAGCAGCCGCGGUAAUACGGAGGGUGCAAGCGUUAAUCGGAAUUACUGGGCGUAAAGCGCACGCAGGCGGUCUGUCAAGUCGGAUGUGAAAUCCCCGGGCUCAACCUGGGAACUGCAUUCGAAACUGGCAGGCUAGAGUCUUGUAGAGGGGGGUAGAAUUCCAGGUGUAGCGGUGAAAUGCGUAGAGAUCUGGAGGAAUACCGGUGGCGAAGGCGGCCCCCUGGACAAAGACUGACGCUCAGGUGCGAAAGCGUGGGGAGCAAACAGG
rnacentral:rRNA from 1 species